rnacentral:rRNA from 1 species
CCUACGGGGGGCAGCAGUGAGGAAUAUUGGUCAAUGGACGAGAGUCUGAACCAGCCAAGUAGCGUGAAGGAUGACUGCCCUAUGGGUUGUAAACUUCUUUUAUAUGGGAAUAAAAUGUUCCACGUGUGGGAUUUUGUAUGUACCAUAUGAAUAAGGAUCGGCUAACUCCGUGCCAGCAGCCGCGGUAAUACGGAUGAUCCGAGCGUUAUCCGGAUUUAUUGGGUUUAAAGGGAGCGUAGGUGGAUUGUUAAGUCAGUUGUGAAAGUUUGCGGCUCAACCGUAAAAUUGCAGUUGAAACUGGCAGUCUUGAGUACAGUAGAGGUGGGCGGAAUUCGUGGUGUAGCGGUGAAAUGCUUAGAUAUCACGAAGAACUCCGAUUGCGAAGGCAGUUCACUGGACUGCAACUGACACUGAGGCUCGAAAGUGUGGGUAUCAAACAGGAUUAGAUACCCGGGUAGUC